UGAACGCUAGCUACAGGCUUAACACAUGCAAGUCGAGGGGCAGCAUGGUCUUAGCUUGCUAAGGCCGAUGGCGACCGGCGCACGGGUGAGUAACACGUAUCCAACCUGCCGUCUACUCUUGGACAGCCUUCUGAAAGGAAGAUUAAUACAAGAUGGCAUCAUGAGUCCGCAUGUUCACAUGAUUAAAGGUAUUCCGGUAGACGAUGGGGAUGCGUUCCAUUAGAUAGUAGGCGGGGUAACGGCCCACCUAGUCUUCGAUGGAUAGGGGUUCUGAGAGGAAGGUCCCCCACAUUGGAACUGAGACACGGUCCAAACUCCUACGGGAGGCAGCAGUGAGGAAUAUUGGUCAAUGGGCGAGAGCCUGAACCAGCCAAGUAGCGUGAAGGAUGACUGCCCUAUGGGUUGUAAACUUCUUUUAUAAAGGAAUAAAGUCGGGUAUGGAUACCCGUUUGCAUGUACUUUAUGAAUAAGGAUCGGCUAACUCCGUGCCAGCAGCCGCGGUAAUACGGAGGAUCCGAGCGUUAUCCGGAUUUAUUGGGUUUAAAGGGAGCGUAGAUGGAUGUUUAAGUCAGUUGUGAAAGUUUGCGGCUCAACCGUAAAAUUGCAGUUGAUACUGGAUAUCUUGAGUGCAGUUGAGGCAGGCGGAAUUCGUGGUGUAGCGGUGAAAUGCUUAGAUAUCACGAAGAACUCCGAUUGCGAAGGCAGCCUGCUAAGCUGCAACUGACAUUGAGGCUCGAAAGUGUGGGUAUCAAACAGGAUUAGAUACCCUGGUAGUCCACACGGUAAACGAUGAAUACUCGCUGUUUGCGAUAUACUGCAAGCGGCCAAGCGAAAGCGUUAAGUAUUCCACAUGGGGAGUACGCCGGCAACGGUGAAACUCAAAGGAAUUGACGGGGGCCCGCACAAGCGGAGGAACAUGUGGUUUAAUUCGAUGAUACGCGAGGAACCUUACCCGGGCUUAAAUUGCAGAUGAAUUACGGUGAAAGCCGUAAGCCGCAAGGCAUCUGUGAAGGUGCUGCAUGGUUGUCGUCAGCUCGUGCCGUGAGGUGUCGGCUUAAGUGCCAUAACGAGCGCAACCCUUGUUGUCAGUUACUAACAGGUUCUGCUGAGGACUCUGACAAGACUGCCAUCGUAAGAUGUGAGGAAGGUGGGGAUGACGUCAAAUCAGCACGGCCCUUACGUCCGGGGCUACACACGUGUUACAAUGGGGGGUACAGAGGGCCGCUACCACGCGAGUGGAUGCCAAUCCCAAAAACCUCUCUCAGUUCGGACUGGAGUCUGCAACCCGACUCCACGAAGCUGGAUUCGCUAGUAAUCGCGCAUCAGCCACGGCGCGGUGAAUACGUUCCCGGGCCUUGUACACACCGCCCGUCAAGCCAUGGGAGCCGGGGGUACCUGAAGUGCGUAACCGCGAGGAGCGCCCUAGGGUAAAACUGGUA
rnacentral:rRNA from 1 species